rnacentral:rRNA from 1 species
CCUACGGGUGGCUGCAGUCGAGGAUCUUCGGCAAUGGGCGCAAGCCUGACCGAGCGACGCCGCGUGCGGGAUGAAGGCCCUCGGGUUGUAAACCGCUGUCAGGGGGGAUGAAGGGCCGGUGGGUUCUCCCACCGGUCACGCUUGACACAUCCCCAGAGGAAGCACGGGCUAAGUUCGUGCCAGCAGCCGCGGUAAGACGAACCGUGCGAACGUUGUUCGGAUUCACUGGGCUUAAAGGGCGCGUAGGCGGCACCGUCAGUCCGGGGUGAAAUCUUUCGGCUCAACCGGAAAAGGGCCUCGGAGACGGCGGUGCUCGAAGGGGGCAGGGGCAGCCGGAACGGCCCGUGGAGCGGUGAAAUGCGUUGAGACGGGCAGGAACGCCGGUGGCGAAAGCGGGUUGCUGGGCCCCCCUUGACGCUGAGGCGCGAAAGCCAGGGGAG